UACGAAGGGGGCUAGCUAUUGGAUUGAUCUGGGCGUAAAGCGUGCGCAGGCGGCCUUCCAAGUCAGGGGUGAAAGCCCAGAGCUCAACUCUGGAAUUGCCUUUGAGACUGUGAGGCUUGAGUACGGGAGAGGUGAGUGGAAUUCCCAGUGUAGAGGUGAAAUUCGUAGAUAUUGGGAAGAACACCGGUGGCGAAGGCGACUCACUGGACACGUAUUGACGCUGAGGUGCGAAAGCGUGGGGAGCAAACAGGG
rnacentral:rRNA from 1 species